rnacentral:rRNA from 1 species
AGGAUGAACGCUGGCGGUCUGCUUAACACAUGCAAGUCGAACGGAGUACCUCGGUACUUAGUGGCGGACGGGUGAGUAACGCGUGAGAAUCUGCCCUUAGGUCGGGGACAACCAUUGGAAACGAUGGCUAAAUACCGGAUAAGCCGAGAGGUAAAAGAUUAAUUGCCUAGGGAAGAGCUCGCGUCUGAUUAGCUAGUUGGUGAGGUAAAGGCUCACCAAGGCAUCGAUCAGUAGCUGGUCUGAGAGGAUGAUCAGCCACACUGGGACUGAGACACGGCCCAGACUCCUACGGGAGGCAGCAGUGGGGAAUUUUCCGCAAUGGGCGAAAGCCUGACGGAGCAAGACCGCGUGAGGGAGGAAGGCUCUUGGGUUGUAAACCUCUUUCAGCAGGGACGAAGCGAAAGUGACGGUACCUGCAGAAGAAGCGCCGGCUAACUACGUGCCAGCAGCCGC